AUGACACAAGCACGAGUGAUGGUGACUUUGGCAGUGGUGGGGGGCAGGGUACUGAGAAAGUCUUGGUUCAUAACCUUUAGGCAUGUCUGACUCCAAUGGUUCAUUGAAGCUGGAUUGCAUUUUUUAACAUGAAGGAUCUGAAUUUUCUUUUGUAGAUUCAACUAUAUGAACAAUAUCAAUAUAAAGUGUCUUCCCAAUUAUUGAAUUUUAGUUGUCUGGUUCUGUAACUUCAUUUGUCUUCUUCAGAUCAACAAGUAAGUCCUUUAUGCUUUUAACCUUUUUCUUUGAAACUGAGUCGCUUUGUUUCGA
rnacentral:lncRNA from 1 species